UGCGGAGGCAGUAAGCCAGCCUUAAGGGGCGGGGCUUCGCCGCCGGCGCGCCCGCGUCCCAGCCUCCAAGGACCUUCCUCUGCCCCGUAGCCUGAGUUGGACAGUGCUGGUCUAAGAGGACCCUGUUGGAGUCACAUAUAUGGAUGCUGUUGGACGGAACUUUGAAAAAGGCUUUUUUAAAAGAAGGAAAGGGUUUUUAAGAAAGACUCAAUUGUACCUUUUGUUUCACAUCCCACUUCUUACCAGAAAUGUUUGAAGUCCUGGCACCCAUUAUCAGCCCAUAGGAUGAAAAGGAAGAAGAUGAAGGCCUGUAAGUGUAUUGGCAGGAUCAAAGCACCUGGAUCCCCAGUAGUAUUACUGAGCCACGUUCCGCCUUGAUUCUUAUUCCAUAUUUCUUAUUCUGUGAAAUAAACCUCUGCUUGCAUAAAUAACUUCAAAUAAGGUUUUCUGUUGUUUGGACAAGCAAUAACAUCUACCAGUUACUGUUAAAAUACACAGAAAUCUUGUCAUAUUAUUUUAAUUUUAUACUUGUUUCUUUUGGAUAGCUGAUAAUUCCCAUUAGGUCAAAUUGAGGAUGCCAGAUCUAAAGUUGCUAUUUUACUACUGUAUUAAUAUUUACUACUGUAUUAAUAUUAAAAUUUUAUUACUGUAUUAAUAAUGAUAAUAUCACUGCUUUGAUUUUGUGUGCCACUAACCUACUAUAUUAGAUACUGGACCUUUAAAUUCAUUUAAAAAUAAUUCUAUACUUGAAAUUUGUUUGUAUGCUUAAAUUAAUUCUGGUGACCGAGGGAUGUGGUAUGUGAUUGCACUUAGCCUUUUAAAUUUGAACUGAGACAUCUUAGUGUCUCACUUUAACUAUUACUGUAUCAAAAUAGCAUUACUUACAGAUGAAAUAGUUCAGUUCAAGCAAGAAUGUUGGAUAGAGGCUAAAAAGGUAAAUUCAAAAGAGCACAGUGUUUUUCAAAGCUUAAGAGGAUUGUUGUGUUUAAAGUGUUGGAAUGAGUUUCCACAUAUUUGUUUGCAAUCAUACAGAAAAUUCCCCACUGGUUGCAGAAUAACAACUACUGUAUUAUAGUGUAUUACAGAAUAACAACAUGUUACAGAAUAACAACUAUGGUAUUACAGGAGUUGUAUCUUUUGGUGUUCCUUGCUAAUAGAAACCAUCAGAGAAAGUUUGGAAGUUUAGAUUUUAUGUCUCUGUUAAUGAUUACUCAUGUUUUACAAUUACAUCUGUCUUUUUCCUAUGCGUUCAUUAUCUAGAAGCAGAAUAUAUGUAACAUAUCUCCAAGUACCUAUGACAUGAAAGGAACAUGUUAGUUGCUGUAUUACCUUUCAGUAUGCGUGUGUGUGUGUUGCAAAAGAGGACUUUCUUACUCAAACUUGUUUUAUGUUUUCCACUUUCUGAAUUUCCUUGAGAGAAUGAAAGGACCUCUCUGAAAGUAGAAUUCUCUUCAGAAAAUGGAGUUAGGAGCUGACAGUCCUUGACUGGAAAUACAGCUGAAUGAGAAAUACAACUCCAAGUGGAAUAUAGAUUAUCGGUAGAUUAGACAUCCCAUUUAUGGAUCAUCUGGGAAUGAUAGAAGAUGGUCGAGAUCCCUGUGAACAUGUAUGUGUGUAUAGGAAGGUAUAUCUGCAAAAGAGUUGAACAAAUUCCUCAGUUCUUCAAUUUUUUUGUUUCUGGUUUGCUUAUUUAUAGCAAAAGAAAGAGUACUCUUUGGGAGGUUUGAAUACACGAUUCUAUCUGUCAAACUCUUGAAAAAUCACUCAACAUCUUUCUCCUGUCAGGUGGGCAAAAUUAAACUCCCCCUUCCUGUAUCAAAGGCCCUUGAAAGGAGGAAAUGUGAUGAAAAACAAGCAAGGGCUUUGUAAAUUUAAAAGGAUACAGAUACAAGUGAAGCGUUCUUGCUCAGGCUCUCUACCAGUCAUGUAGAUGAUGCUCAAUAAAUAAUUACUCACUGAAUGCUUUUUAUCUGCUAA